UACGUAGGUGGCGAGCGUUGUCCGGAAUUACUGGGUGUAAAGGGCGUGUAGGCGGGGAAGCAAGUCAGAUGUGAAAUCCCGGGGCUCAACUCCGGAGUUGCAUCUGAAACUGUUUUCUUGAGUGCUGGAGAGGAAAGCGGAAUUCCUAGUGUAGCGGUGAAAUGCGUAGAUAUUAGGAGGAACACCAGUGGCGAAGGCGGCUUUCUGGACAGUAACUGACGCUGAGGCGCGAAAGCGUGGGGAGCAAACAGGAUUAGAUACCCCGGUAGUCCCUGA
rnacentral:rRNA from 1 species